UUAGUGUUGUGCGGUCACAGCCUUGAUCACAGGCGUAGGUUCAAAUUCAUUAUUCUGGUUAAAUUUACAUUCCGAAGAGACAACAAGGGAAUAUUGAAAACAUAAAACAAAAAAAAAACAGCUCAACUAUCACAACGACCUGAAAACCCAAACACUGUAAAGGGAGUGACACGGAAGGACGUUGCGCGGCGCAAACAGUUUUAUGUUAAAAAUAACUCCUCCAUAGAUGGGGGAGGGGAAACUAACACGAGUCUGUGCUUCGGGCUCCCUUGGGUGUGGUGGGUAUUAUAGGUAUUUGAAGUGACGACAAUAAAAUCUGUUUUUUUUAAAAAAAAAAAAAAAAAGACAAAAAAAGCAUAGCCGUGUGUCAGUUACAAGAAAUCACAAAUCAUAGGCUGUGUAAGAAGAGCUGCCAUUUGGACCGAGGUGUACUGAAUAUGAAGUCAACUAACUUGGCAAAUUAACCUUGGCUUUGUUGUGACAAAACGUUUCCCAGAAGUAGACAGCCUAGGCGUAAAUACGUAACAAAGUGUGUAAUGCAUUCCUGCGCUGCACCGCCCACCUCUCAUUCCUAUUCAAUCUACACUAGAUCAGUGCUUAAUAUUGUUAUCUGUUGUGUAAAACCCUGCACGUUGUGUCUAAAUCCGAUUUUUUUUGGUAUUUAGGUUGUAAAUAUAGAUCGUAACAUGUUGUGUCACUUUCAGUAGAUAAUUGUGGCCUUGAUUAGACAACGUUCGAAAGCAAACAAAACAGGCUUGUCCCUUAUAUAUUUCAGCUGCACUCUAAUCAUCUAUUGUAAAUGAGUGCAGUAGAUAAACAGAGAGAAAUGCUGGUUUUAAUGAGGCUCCCGUGGAAGAGAAACCUCUUAUCUGCAAAGCCAGGCCGUCAAUAUAAAUCAGAAAUUGUUCUGUUGCCUGGAAAAAUAAAGGAUAAAUCAAAAAUAAAAAGAGAAGUAGCCUGGAAAAAGAGAGUAUCCAGAGAGGACAUCAUACCAGAAGAUUUCUUUCAUUCCAUCCUGCAGGAGCCACAGAACCAAAUGGAUGGACCUUCAGCAUCUCAGUAUCAGCAGAAGCAGCAGCAGGUUGUGAACGGGCCUCUCUCACACUGUUUUACUGCUGAAAUCUGAAGCCCAGCAACUGCCUUAACGGCUAACCGGAGACCAUAGUCCUCUCUGUCCACUGGAGGACAGGAGUAACCAGUCAUUGCAUAUAAAUAAUUUAUGGCCACCCAUAUUUUACCUUAGUUCACUAGAUAACACCUUUGUGUAACCUGGAAAGUCAUACAGUUACAAACCGCCAGCACCCAUUUAUGUGGCUUAGGUACUUCAGACUCUUCAUUCCACUAACAAAAUGUAAGGCUAUUUCACACUGAACAGAAUCUGUCGGUGUACGGCGAGUACAGCAUAUUGACACACCUCCCCAGAAAUUAUCCCUUGCAGCGACACAGACCACACACCAGUAUAAGUGCUGGCAGUGGUGUAGGACAGGGUGUAAGGUCUGCAUAGGCUCAAUGCAUAAGCAAAAAUAAGCCGUGACAUCACUUUUGAUAGGCUUUGGAGAGGUGUAAAUCAGUCUUGACACAUCACUUUUGAUAGGCUUUGGAGAGGCGUAAAUCAGUCUUGACACAUCACUUUUGAUAGGCUUUGGAGAGGCGUAAAUCAGCCUUGACACAUCACUUUUGAUAGGCUUUGGAGAGGCGUAAAUCAGUCUUGACACAUCACUUUUGAUAGGCUUUGGAGAGGCGUAAAUCAGCUGUAACAUCACUUUUGAUAAGCCUUGGAGAGGCAUAUUCUGACUCCACAUUUGUUCAGUGUUGGACAGACAUGCUUUCUGAUCUAUUUACCUGUUGGGGGGUGGCUCAGUGAGUUAGGCCUCUAUGCCUGUGAUUGGACAGUCCUGUAUUCAGCACAGCAGGAACACUUCUGUUGGGCCCUCGAGCACGACUCCUAAAGCCUGAAAGGCCGAACCAGCGCUCAGACCCCAAGUUUCACUCUUUUUUUCCUUGCCUAAUGCACCAUGAUACAGUAUCUGGUAAAUGAAGCAAAUUCUGAUUCACACUGAAUUCAGAAGGACUAUUGCUUUUGUGAGGGUUUUUGAAGUCACAAGAUCCAAGUUUGUCUGAGGUGACAGAAGCUCCAACAGAGGGCAUGUUUCUAACCUAAAAAAAAAAAAUCAGGGCCUUCGUCAAGUUUACCCCAGGCUUGACUUUCUGUAUUUCAGUGAAUGAAGACCUGCAGCAGUGGUAACACUCAGGGCUACUGCCCCUAGUGAUCAGACCAAGCAAUGCUCAUGUCCUGCAGGAACAGACUAAAUACCAACAACUGGAAAUAGUCACAGCAAGUCUGACAUUCACACAGCAUCCAGAGGGACGAGUAGCAGUUCACAGCCUGCAUGAUGCACACACAUAACGUCUUCCCUUCUCCUUCUCAGAUUACCCAUCAUACACCAUAACAUACCAAGAAUUCCGCAAUGAGAAAAAUUUGAAGGCCUUACACAAUGUUCCAUGGUCUACAACCCUCGUGAUGAUUAAGAAAUCAGUCAGAAUGUCUUGACCUUGAUGAUGGUGCAGUGAUGCGAGAGCCCCACAGGGAGGCGAUAUGGAUCAAACAGCACAACACACCAGCCUACGCCAGGCUGUUUUCUGCAAGGCCCAGGACUAGGGCCAAGCCUUGCAGUCCGGCUGAUGCAGUACAGGAGCCCUUGAAGGCGAAACAUAGCAGUGACCCCCCCCCCCCUAAG